UACGGAGGGUGCAAGCGUUAAUCGGAAUUACUGGGCGUAAAGCGCACGCAGGCGGUUUGUUAAGUCAGAUGUGAAAUUCUCCGGCUCAAUCUGGGAACUGCAUCUGAUACUGGCAAGCUUGAGUCUCACAGAGGAGGGUAGAAUUCCAGGUGUAGCGGUGAAAUGCGUAGAGAUCUGGAGGAAUACCGGUGGCGAAGGCGGCCCCCUGGACGAAGACUGACGCUCAGGUGCGAAAGCGUGGGUAGCAAACAGG
rnacentral:rRNA from 1 species